UAUUUUUAGGAUUUAAAUUUUGAUUCCUCAGUGAACUGUACAGAAAAUAAUGAUGAAAUCCUUGAGAGUAUUACUAGUGAUCCUGUGGCUUCAGUUAAACUGGGUGACGAGUCAACAAAAGGAGGUGGAGCAGAAUACUGAAUCCCUCAGUGUUCCAGAGGGUGCCACUGCCCCUCUCAACUGCACUUUUAGCGACCGUGGUUCUCGGAACUUCAUGUGGUACAGGCAGUAUUCUGGGAAAGGUCCUGAGUUGCUGAUAGCCAUAUACUCCAACGGUGACAAAGAAGAUGGAAGGUUUACAGUGCAGCUCAAUAAAGGCAGCCAGUAUGUUUCCCUGCUCAUCAGAGACUCCCAGAUCAGCGACUCAGCCACCUAUCUCUGUGUGGUGGUUAAGUGGAUGAGGGAGGGGGCUUCAGUCCUUGAACAUGGGGCAGCAGGAAGAAGUCUGUCCUAUAUGCUCAUCUUCCGUGGAGACAUUGGAAAUCUUUCCUCCUACUCAUCUGUACUGGUUGCAUCCACAAUUUUGAAGAAAUUACCGUGCAGUCUCACUGGGCCACUGUGGGUGGAGUUUCCCGUGAAGAUGAAAAACAGAGCUCAAGUGUGUCUGGUGCUCAGUGAAUCUGGUGAAACCUAUUGUCUGCAAGAACAAGUUUGUCUAGAUCCAAUACGUGGAACUCUUCGGAGGCGGGGAGAAGACGCCCCAGCAACGGCCAAGAAGCCAUGGAAAGGAGACUAG